rnacentral:lncRNA from 1 species
UUCGACCCGAACAUGAAAGUUGCUCCAUUUUGAGUCCCGAACAUGGUUCCAUCAAUGGUUUCUUGAACGAGCAAUCCCAUCGCUUGUUUCACUUGCUUUGCCCUUGAUCGCGUCAUUGGUCCGCCAUCGACUAUCAACGGGUCUCGUCUCGCACUUGCCUUCGUCGGGCUCGACUCCUGGAUCAUAUCAUCCCCUCCCUCUUCAAAAGGAUUCGUCCUCGAAUCUGAACCUGCAUCAAACAGAGAGAGAUCAGAUACAUUAAAAGUAGCCGAAACAUUGUACUCACCUGGAAGGUCCAACUUGUAAGCAUUGUCGUUUAUCUUUUCAAUCACUUGAAAUGGACCAUCGCCCCUCGGUUGCAACUUGGACUUCCUUUGCUCCGGAAACCGCUCUUUCCUAAGGUGCACCCAAACCCAAUCUCCUGGCUCGAAUGUCACGCGCUUCCUACCUUUGUUCGCCUGCGACGCAACCAACUUACUUUUGUUUUCAAUUUGCGCUUUUACCUUUUCAUGGAGUGACUUAAUCAAUUCCGCCUUCUUUUUGCCAUCUAAACUACCACGUUCAUUCACAGGUAAAGGAAUUAAAUCCAAAGGAGUUAGUGGAUUAAAACCAUAUACAAUUUCAAAUGGAGAAUAUGACGUAGUAGAGUGAACNUUAUGCUUCAAACUAUUUUUAUACUCUUUCCAAGUAGGUGGCAAUUUUUCAAUUAUAGCUGACACUUGAAAGCCCUCACAGAUUUUAUAUCCUUCAGCAAUAAUUUCGUGAAUUAUAAUCUGCAAUUCUUCAACCUGACUAACCACAGUUCUAACAUCAUUCAUUUUAAAAUCUAAAAACUUUCCCACAACAAAUUUCUUGGUUCCAGCAUCUUCUGUAGCAUAUUUCUUUUCUAAUGAAUUCCAUAACUCUUUUGCAGAUUUACACGAGUAGUAAAC